rnacentral:rRNA from 1 species
GACGUAGGGCGCAAGCGUUGUCCGGAUUUAUUGGGCGUAAAGAGCUCGUAGGCGGCUUGUCGCGUCGACUGUGAAAACCCGCAGCUCAACUGUGGGCUUGCAGCCGAUACGGGCGGGCUAGAGUUCGGUAGGGGAGACUGGAAUUCCUGGUGUAGCGGUGAAAUGCGCAGAUAUCGAGAGGAACACCUGCGGCGAAGGCGGGUUGCUGGGCCGACACUGACGCUGAUGCGCGAAAGCCAGGGGAGCGAACGGG